AAAAAUAUAUAGGCAUACAUAGCGUCAAGCUGACCUGGACAGACUAAACUAAAGAGACAAAAGCACACUCACAAUAUUGACAACACAUGCACUGAGCACACAGACACACACUUGUGCACCCUGGCAUCUCUUUCACAGCAUCCAUGCCAGUGUCUAAGCAUAGGCUAAAGGGCUUGGAGUAAGCAGUUACUAGGCUGCCCAGAGAGGAAGUAUGGGUGCCUCAUAACUCUCUUUUUUUUUCUUUGGUACCGAGGAUCAAACUCGGGUCCUUGUGCUUAUGCAACAGGCAGUGAAACCACUGAGCUAAAUCCCCAGCCCCUCCUAACUCUGUUUUUAAGAUUACAUUCCUGGAUAAAGAUGAGACAGGAGGUAGGGCUUGGAUGCAGUUGCAUAACUGGGCGAGGACACAGGCUGAGGAUAAAAGGUUCAGCUCCAGGCUACAGAGGGGUGGACAGCAGUCAGAACAGGAACAUGGAACUCAGUGUCCUCUUGCUCCUCACUCUCCUCAUGGGCCUCUUGGUUCUCCUGUUCAGGGGCCACCCAAAGACCCAUGGCCACCUCCCACCAGGCCCACGACCUCUACCCUUCCUGGGGAACCUUUUGCAGAUGAACAGAAAAGGCCUGGUCAAAUCCAUCCUGCAGGAAAAGCUUGGGGCAAAGUGAGAUCCUUUAUGGAUUCUCCCUUGGCUAGUGGUCAGUGCCUCAGCCUCAUUGUUGAGGUUUCUUAG
rnacentral:lncRNA from 1 species